rnacentral:rRNA from 1 species
AUUAGACUACCCCGGUAGUCCCAGCCGUAAACUAUGCUCGCUAGGUGUCAGGCAUGGCGCGACCGUGUCUGGUGCCGCAGGGAAGCCGUGAAGCGAGCCACCUGGGAAGUACGGCCGCAAGGCUGAAACUUAAAGGAAUUGGCGGGGGAGCACAACAACGGGUGGAGCCUGCGGUUUAAUUGGACUCAACGCCGGACAACUCACCGGGGACGACAGCAAUAUGUAGGCCAGGCUGAAGACCUUGCCUGAAUCGCUG